AGAUUGAACGCUGGCGGCAGGCCUAACACAUGCAAGUCGAGCGGCAGCACGGGUACUUGUACCUGGUGGCGAGCGGCGGACGGGUGAGUAAUGCCUAGGAAUCUGCCUGAUAGUGGGGGAUAACGUUCGGAAACGGACGCUAAUACCGCAUACGUCCGUACGGGAGAAAGUGGGGGAUCUUCGGACCU
rnacentral:rRNA from 1 species